UGCGGUGUAGCUCAGCGGUAGAGCGCGGGUCUCAUAAACCCGUGGGCGAAGGUUCGAAUCCUUCCGCCGCAACCA
rnacentral:tRNA from 1 species